AUGGAGACUGCUUGCAGAUCAAGCAGCAUUUCUCAACCUGUCAGAAAAUCAAAGGCAAUACAGAGCAUCUCUUCCUAUCCAUCAUACAGUCCAUUUGCAACUCAGGACAUGCUCCCUAUGACAAAAGGAAAACAGGAACUAUUGCAAGAUAACACCUUAGCAAUGAUACCUCAGUGGGUCCAGAAUAAGGCUGCAAGUAUACUCUGGGAGCUGGAGCACCUGCCCUCUGAAGAAAUGCUGAGGAACCUGCAGCCUGAAAAAGAGAAGGCUCUGGAGGAGAUCUCAUUGCAAUCUUCCAGUAUUUAA
rnacentral:lncRNA from 1 species